rnacentral:rRNA from 1 species
GACGAACGCUGGCGGCGUGCUUAACACAUGCAAGUCGAACGGAAAGGCCCUGCUUUUGUGGGGUGCUCGGGUGGCGAACGGGUGAGUAACACGUGAGUAACCUGCCCUUGACUUUGGGAUAACUUCAGGAAACUGGGGCUAAUACCGGAUAGGAGCUCCUGCUGCAUGGUGGGGGUUGGAAAGUUUCGGCGGUUGGGGAUGGGCUCGCGGCUUAUCAGCUUGUUGGCGGGGUAGUGGCUUACCAAGGCUUUGACGGGUAGCCGGCCUGAGAGGGUGACCGGCCACAUUGGGACUGAGAUACGGCCCAGACUCCUACGGGAGGCAGCAGUGGGGAAUAUUGCACAAUGGGCGGAAGCCUGAUGCAGCAACGCCGCGUGCGGGAUGACGGCCUUCGGGUUGUAAACCGCUUUCGCCUGUGACGAAGCGUGAGUGACGGUAAUGGGUAAAGAAGCACCGGCUAACUACGUG